rnacentral:rRNA from 1 species
UAGAGUUUGAUCAUGGCUCAGGACGAACGCUGGCGGCGUGCUUAACACAUGCAAGUCGAACGGUAAGGCCCUUCGGGGUACACGAGUGGCGAACGGGUGAGUAACACGUGGGUGAUCUGCCCUGCACUUUGGGAUAAGCCUGGGAAACUGGGUCUAAUACCGAAUAGGACCAUGGACUUCACGGUUUGUGGUGGAAAGCUUUUGCGGUGUGGGAUGGGCCCGCGGCCUAUCAGCUUGUUGGUGGGGUAAUGGCCUACCAAGGCGACGACGGGUAGCCGGCCUGAGAGGGUGACCGGCCACACUGGGACUGAGAUACGGCCCAGACUCCUACGGGAGGCAGCAGUGGGGAAUAUUGCACAAUGGGCGCAAGCCUGAUGCAGCGACGCCGCGUGAGGGAUGACGGCCUUCGGGUUGUAAACCUCUUUCAGCACAGACGAAGCGCAAGUGACGGUAUGUGCAGAAGAAGGACCAACGGACUACGUGCCAGCAGCCGCGGUAAUA